rnacentral:rRNA from 1 species
GAGGAGGAGGCGGCCAGGCUGAGGUACCUCGAGUUCGUGCAGCAGGCGGCGGCGCAGGCGGUCGUGCUGGCGGCCACGGCCUACGCCUACGCCAAGCAGGGCGCCGGCCCGCUCCACCCCGGCGUCGACCACGUCGAGGGGACGGUCAAGGCCGUCGUCGGCCCCGUCUACGACCGCUACCACGCCAUGCCGCUCGAUCUCCUCAAGUUCCUCGACCGCAAAGUGUGA